GACGAACGCUGGCGGCGUGCUUAACACAUGCAAGUCGAACGGAAAGGCCCUGCUUUUGUGGGGUGCUCGAGUGGCGAACGGGUGAGUAACACGUGAGUAACCUGCCCUUGACUUUGGGAUAACUUCAGGAAACUGGGGCUAAUACCGGAUAGGAGCUCCUGCUGCAUGGUGGGGGUUGGAAAGUUUCGGCGGUUGGGGAUGGACUCGCGGCUUAUCAGCUUGUUGGUGUGGUAGUGGCUUACCAAGGCUUUGACGGGUAGCCGGCCUGAGAGGGUGACCGGCCACAUUGGGACUGAGAGACGGACCAGACUCCUACGGGAGGCAGCGGUCGGGAAUAUUGCACAAUGGGCGGACGCCUGAUGCAGCAACGCCGCGUGCGGGAUGACGGCCUUCGGGUUGUAAACCGCUUUCGCCUGUGACGAAGCGUGAGUGACGGUAAUGGGUAAAGAAGCACCGGCUAACUACGUG
rnacentral:rRNA from 1 species